rnacentral:rRNA from 1 species
GGUUAAGCGACUAAGCGUACACGGUGGAUGCCCUGGCAGUCAGAGGCGAUGAAGGACGUGCUAAUCUGCGAUAAGCGUCGGUAAGGUGAUAUGAACCGUUAUAACCGGCGAUUUCCGAAUGGGGAAACCCAGUGUGAUUCGUCACACUAUCAUUAACUGAAUCCAUAGGUUAAUGAGGCGAACCGGGGGAACUGAAACAUCUAAGUACCCCGAGGAAAAGAAAUCAACCGAGAUUCCCCCAGUAGCGGCGAGCGAACGGGGAGGAGCCCAGAGCCUGAAUCAGUGUGUGUGUUAGUGGAAGCGUCUGGAAAGGCGCGCGAUACAGGGUGACAGCCCCGUACACAAAAAUGCACAUGCUGUGAGCUCGAUGAGUAGGGCGGGACACGUGGUAUCCUGUCUGAAUAUGGGGGGACCAUCCUCCAAGGCUAAAUACUCCUGACUGACCGAUAGUGAACCAGUACCGUGAGGGAAAGGCGAAAAGAACCCCGGCGAGGGGAGUGAAAAAGAACCUGAAACCGUGUACGUACAAGCAGUGGGAGCCUCUUUAUGGGGUGACUGCGUACCUUUUGUAUAAUGGGUCAGCGACUUAUAUUCUGUAGCAAGGUUAACCGAAUAGGGGAGCCGAAGGGAAACCGAGUCUUAACUGGGCGUUAAGUUGCAGGGUAUAGACCCGAAACCCGGUGAUCUAGCCAUGGGCAGGUUGAAGGUUGGGUAACACUAACUGGAGGACCGAACCGACUAAUGUUGAAAAAUUAGCGGAUGACUUGUGGCUGGGGGUGAAAGGCCAAUCAAACCGGGAGAUAGCUGGUUCUCCCCGAAAGCUAUUUAGGUAGCGCCUCGUGAAUUCAUCUCCGGGGGUAGAGCACUGUUUCGGCAAGGGGGUCAUCCCGACUUACCAACCCGAUGCAAACUGCGAAUACCGGAGAAUGUUAUCACGGGAGACACACGGCGGGUGCUAACGUCCGUCGUGAAGAGGGAAACAACCCAGACCGCCAGCUAAGGUCCCAAAGUCAUGGUUAAGUGGGAAACGAUGUGGGAAGGCCCAGACAGCCAGGAUGUUGGCUUAGAAGCAGCCAUCAUUUAAAGAAAGCGUAAUAGCUCACUGGUCGAGUCGGCCUGCGCGGAAGAUGUAACGGGGCUAAACCAUGCACCGAAGCUGCGGCAGCGACACUAUGUGUUGUUGGGUAGGGGAGCGUUCUGUAAGCCUGCGAAGGUGUACUGUGAGGUAUGCUGGAGGUAUCAGAAGUGCGAAUGCUGACAUAAGUAACGAUAAAGCGGGUGAAAAGCCCGCUCGCCGGAAGACCAAGGGUUCCUGUCCAACGUUAAUCGGGGCAGGGUGAGUCGACCCCUAAGGCGAGGCCGAAAGGCGUAGUCGAUGGGAAACAGGUUAAUAUUCCUGUACUUGGUGUUACUGCGAAGGGGGGACGGAGAAGGCUAUGUUGGCCGGGCGACGGUUGUCCCGGUUUAAGCGUGUAGGCUGGUUUUCCAGGCAAAUCCGGAAAAUCAAGGCUGAGGCGUGAUGACGAGGCACUACGGUGCUGAAGCAACAAAUGCCCUGCUUCCAGGAAAAGCCUCUAAGCAUCAGGUAACAUCAAAUCGUACCCCAAACCGACACAGGUGGUCAGGUAGAGAAUACCAAGGCGCUUGAGAGAACUCGGGUGAAGGAACUAGGCAAAAUGGUGCCGUAACUUCGGGAGAAGGCACGCUGAUA